GUCUACAGCCAUGCCACCCUGAACAUGCCUGAUAUUGUCUGAUCUCGGAAGAAAAGCAGGGUCGGGCCUAGUUUGUUCUUGGAUGGGAGACCACCUAGGAAUACCAGGUGCUGUAAGCA
rnacentral:rRNA from 1 species